rnacentral:rRNA from 1 species
UACGGAGGGUGCGAGCGUUGUCCGGAAUCACUGGGCGUAAAGGGCGCGUAGGCGGCCUGAUAAGUAGGGGGUGAAAUCCUGAGGCUUAACCUCAGGGCUGCCUUCUAAACUGUCAGGCUCGAGCACAGUAGAGGCAGGUGGAAUUCCCGGUGUAGCGGUGGAAUGCGUAGAGAUCGGGAAGAACAUCAGUGGCGAAGGCGGCCUGCUGGGCCUGUUGCUGACGCUGAGGCGCGACAGCGUGGGGAGCAAACAGG